rnacentral:rRNA from 1 species
AACAAACGCUGGCGGCGUGCCUAACACAUGCAAGUCGUACGAGAAAGGGUCCUUCGGGACCUGAGUAAAGUGGCGCACGGGUGAGUAACGCGUGGAUAAUCUGCCCUUCAGUUGGGAAUAACUCAUCGAAAGGUGGGCUAAUACCGAAUGAUACUGCGAGACUUUGGUCGAGCAGUCAAAGAGAGCCUCUGCUUGCAAGCCCUCGCUGAAGGAUGAGUCCGCGUACCAUUAGCUAGUUGGUAGGGUAAUGGCCUACCAAGGCGACGAUGGUUAGCUGGUCUGAGAGGAUGAUCAGCCACACUGGAACUGAGACACGGUCCAGACUCCUACGGGAGGCAG